rnacentral:rRNA from 1 species
AACGCUGGCGGCAGGCUUAACACAUGCAAGUCGAACGGUAACAUAAAGAAGCUUGCUUCUUUGAUGACGAGUGGCGGACGGGUGAGUAAUGCUUGGGAAUCUAGCUUAUGGAGGGGGGAUAACUACGGGAAACUGUAGCUAAUACCGCGUAGAAUCGGGAGAUGAAAGUGUGGGACCUUCGGGCCACAUGCCAUAGGAUGAGCCCAAGUGGGAUUAGGUAGUUGGUGAGGUAAAGGCUCGCCAAGCCGACG